GGUUGUGUAGUGUAGCGGUUAUCACUCCAGAUUUUGAUUCUGGUAACCCCGGUUCGAACCCGGGCACGACCU
rnacentral:tRNA from 1 species